rnacentral:rRNA from 1 species
AGUCGAACGGUAACGCGGGGCAACCUGGCGACGAGUGGCGAACGGGUGAGUAAUAUAUCGGAACGUGCCCAGUAGUGGGGGAUAGCCCGGCGAAAGCCGGAUUAAUACCGCAUGAGACCUGAGGGUGAAAGCGGGGGAUCGCAAGACCUCGCGCUAUUGGAGCGGCCGAUAUCAGAUUAGGUAGUUGGUGGGGUAAAAGCCUACCAAGCCGACGAUCUGUAGCUGGUCUGAGAGGACGACCAGCCACACUGGGACUGAGACACGGCCCAGACUCCUACGGGAGGCAGCAGUGGGGAAUUUUGGACAAUGGGCGCAAGCCUGAUCCAGCCAUGCCGCGUGCGGGAAGAAGGCCUUCGGGUUGUAAACCGCUUUUGUCAGGGAAGAAAUCUUCUGGGCUAAUACCUCGGGAGGAUGACGGUACCUGAAGAAUAAGCACCGGCUAACUACGUGCCAGCAGCCGCGGUAAUACGUAGGGUGCGAGCGUUAAUCGGAAUUACUGGGCGUAAAGCGUGCGCAGGCGGUCUUGCAAGACAGGUGUGAAAUCCCCGGGCUUAACCUGGGAACUGCACUUGUGACUGCAAGGCUGGAGUACGGCAGAGGGGGAUGGAAUUCCGCGUGUAGCAGUGAAAUGCGUAGAUAUGCGGAGGAACACCGAUGGCGAAGGCAAUCCCCUGGGCCUGUACUGACGCUCAUGCACGAAAGCGUGGGGGAGCAAACAGGAUUAGAUACCCUGGUAGUCCACGCCCUAAACGAUGUC